ACCACGCGCACCUCUCAUCCAAUAUCUUGGCCCACGCACACGAAUGCAGUCAGCUAGGGUACAGACGAGAGUGACAGUUUAACGCAGGGAGUAAACAAAUAAAACACAGUUUCACAGUGCGUAUCAAAUACAUAUUAUUAAAACUAAAUCCUUUAAAUAGCCGCCAUAAAACGAACUAUUAUAGUGCUCAUUACUAAUAAAUAUCUACCUUAGAUUGGUACGAAGGUAACUAGAGUUUAAUAAUAGAAUGUAUCUUAAAAACAACUCUCAAUAUUAGGUCAGUAAUAGUAGCUCACCCACAAGCGGGAACCCUUUACUAGAGCCGAUAUCGCCUACAGGAACCCGAACCCCACUAUAUCGCAAUAGAAUUUUGCAUUUUAAGCGGAAAGCGAAAACAGAAUAGGAACUAAACGAAAAUUAUAAUCUCCCGUUAAGAAACACCUGCGUUUUAUUGGAGAUUAAAUUUCCGGAAACAUCCUGUCAAACCGUUGACCCAUUGCUGUCACCAACCGUUGACCAAAGGCAACAUUAUAAUUUUCGUUUACGCGGAUUAUUGCAUUCUCGGGUAUGUCGGGACGGAGUAAAUCGAAACAAUUCGAAAACGGCGCGCGGCCAAAAACAAGAUCACGUGGGGUGUUAGAAAGUGAUGAUGUGCGUGGUAGUGGUGAAUAUCGUAAGUCGGUUAUGUAUAGACACCAAACUAAGAAGCAUCUGGAGAGCACCGUUCCAGGAUGGUCGUGCAAAAGCUGCCAGAAUGCGGAUACUGAGGACAUGGUGCAAUGCGAUAAGUGUGACAAGUGGCACCAUUAUGAAUGUGUGGGCGUAACAGAUGAUAUUGCAAAUCGGAGUUGGAGAUGUCCAAACUGUUUACCGGAGAAGUUGGUGAUCCGUAAACCAAAAACGUCUGGAAAUCCAGCAGAUUUCAAUGAUAUGCAGAGUGAACUAAAUCGAACUAACAUUGUCUCAACCGUAACUCAAAUUCCACUGAUUAAAAUACCGUCAGUCUCAGAUUCCGCAAUAAACACUCAAGAUGCUUUGGAUGCACAAAACCUCGCCCCAAACAUCAAAUCGGUGUCAAAAAUGGUUGCCGCACUAGAACUGAAGCAGACCAAAUCAAGUCAGUCUAUUAAUUUGCCGGUAAAUUCCGAUCCAAUCGUGAAGAUUACUCCAGUAGGACCGAGAGCUCGUUCAGUAACUUCACAGUCGUGCUCGAUAAAGUCACUUUUGAAACUAGAACUUCAGAAACUAGAAGAAGAACGAACCUUCGAGAAACAGGAAGCAGAAAGACGACGUAAUUUCGAAUUGCUGGAGGCAGAGAAGCAUCGUGAUUAUCUCAAGAAGAAAUAUGCUUUACUAGAGGAGAUGUCCAAUCGAUCUCGAUCAAGUCGUAGCGAGGCGUCAAGUAGAGUUGAUGAUUGGAUCAGUGAUGUGAAUUCUCAACAACAUAGUGAAGUGCUUGUACCUCAGAACAAAGCUAAAUUCAAUCCUCAACGGCAUUCUACUCAGAAUCAGGUCGUAAAUUCUACGUUCGAGAACAAAUUCAGGUCUCAAUAUGUUCCAAGGCCACCGGCAGACCGCAUCCAUUCUAAUACCGCUCCAGCAGUCUCCAGCAAUGAUCAACUGCAUACACCUUUCAGAAGAACGACGCAACAAAAUCGUCAACGUACAUCUGAGGAAGAGGUUGAUAAUGAACCCUGCCAGUUUAGUCGAAAGCAAUUGGCUGCUCGUCAAGCGAUUUCGACAGACCUACCAGCUUUUACGGGGAAACCGGAAGAAUGGCCAAUUUUUCUAUCAGUCUACAACAGUACGACAGCCAUGUGCGGAUUCUCAGACGAAGAGAAUAUUAUCCGGCUUCAGAGAUGCCUGAAAGGAAAGGCAUACGAAGCGGUACAAAGCCGCCUGAUGUAUCCUUCGAAUGCCCCAGGUAUAAUUUCAACACUUCGCAUGCUCUACGGUCAACCGGAAGCCAUUAUAAGCUCGUUGGUAGGAAAGAUCAACGCCCUUCCCCCACUACGAGAGGAUAAGCUGGAGACAAUAGUUGAUUUUGCAGUACAAGUACAGAAUUUUUGUGCAACGAUCGAUGCAUGUGGAAUCGAGGAUUAUAUGUACAACAUUUCUUUGCUGCAUCAGCUUGUUAGCAAACUUCCGCCGAUCAUUAAGCUCGAUUGGGCAAGAUAUCGACAAACCCUUUCGACAACUAAUCUCGCGACAUUCGGGGAUUGGGUAUAUUCAUUAGCUGAGGCAGCAAGCGCCAUAACCAUCCCUCCGGUAGUGAUAGAAUCCAAGCCUGUACGGUUCGAAACUAAAGGUGUCAAGAAGGGAAAUGCUUUUCUCAACGCCCACUCCGAAAUACAACAACUAGAUUAUAUGCCCUCGAGCGCGCCUUAUUUAGAGACAAAUAUAAGGCAAGUGGAUGAUGUUAACUGUCCCAUCUGUAAAGGCAGCUGCAAAGCAGUCGAGAAGUGCAAACGUUUCCACGAACUCUCAAGAGACUCACGGUGGGCUGCUGUGCGAGAGUUCGAACUGUGUCGCAGAUGUCUUCGUAAACAUAUCAACAACAGUUGCAGGACCAAACCUUGCGGGAAAGACGGCUGCACUCGUCUGCAUCAUGUACUACUACAUAACGAUCGGAACACCGAGGUUAAUCCCACAGACUCAUUGACGGAAGACGUAUUACCUUCCCAUACACAAACGCAGCAACUUCAUGGAUACAACUUACAUCAUUCCAGCUCCAGUGCUGUACUGUUCCGUUAUCUACCAGUCAUAUUGCAUGGAAAAGAUAGGUCGGUGCGCACGUAUGCCUUUUUCGACGAAGGAUCAGAAUUAACAUUACUGGAUAAGGAAUUGUCAGAUCAAUUGAUGUUAGAAGGAACCUUACAACCGUUGUGUCUCAGAUGGACCGGAGGCACUCAGCGCAAUGAAACUAAUUCACGAAUUGUUAGUCUGGAUGUAUCGGGGAUACAGCAAACCGCAAAGAGAUUUAAACUCAAUACCGUAAGAACCGUGGAAAGUCUGCUUCUUCCUGAUCAAACGCUCGACACAGAUGAACUGACGCAGCUCUACCCGCAUCUUCGUGGGCUGCCUAUUGAAUCAUAUUACCAAGCUAGACCACGUAUCCUGAUCGGAAUGAAACAUGUAGGUGUCAGUGUAGCUCUGAAAACCAAAGAGGGUAAAUAUGAUGAUCCGAUAGCUGUAAAAACACGACUAGGAUGGACCGUAUGCGGUGGGUGGAAAGCGGAAAAAAUGCAAGGGGUUGGACAAUGUUCGUUCCACGUGUGUGUGAUUCCCGAGAAAUCGGAUGAGAAUUUACACCAAAUCGUGAAGGCUUACUUCGCGCUGGAUAGCCAAGGCAUAACGAAAUCUGAAAACGUUCUUUCCUCUGAGGACCAACGUGCGCAUGAUCUUUUGAAGUCUGGUACAUACCUGAGAGGAAAUCGCUAUGAAACCGGACUCCUAUGGCGUCACGAUGAUUUUCGUCUACCAGACAGCCGUGAAAUGGCCCUUCAACGGCACCUGAGUCUUGUUAAGCGAUUGGAGAAGAACCCAUUGUUGGCGGAGAUACUCCAUCAAAAGCUUUCGGACUACAUUCGAAAGGGUUACGCAAGAAAGCUCAAUGACGAUGAGCUUAAUCAAACGUUUCAGCGCGUCUGGUACCUUCCCGUAUUCCCUGUGAUGAACUCGAACAAACCUGGGAAAGUGAGGUUAGUGUGGGAUGCAGCGGCAAAAUCGCACGGUAUCUCGUUAAAUUCUGCUCUACUCAAGGGACCAGACCAACUGUGUUCGCUGUUUGCUAUCUUGCUGCAAUUUCGCGAAGGACGGAUAGGACUAACUGGAGACGUGCGUGAGAUGUUUCAUCAAAUACUCAUCCGUGAUGAAGAUCAGCAAUGCCAACGCUUUUUUUGGACCGACAAGGAUGGGAAAUUGUCAGUGUACGUAAUGAACGUCAUGACCUUUGGAGCUUGCUGCUCCCCAAGUAGCGCACAGUAUGUCAAAAACCUAAAUGCCGAACGUUUCGCUAAAGAGUUUCCAGCUGCAACGAGAGUAAUCUUGAAGCUGCAUUAUGUUGACGACAUGCUGCUCAGUACAAACUCUGAACAGGCUGCGAUUCGUCUCGCAAAGGACGUGCAAUACAUACAUUCUCAAGGCGGAUUUGAAAUUCGUAACUGGAUUAGUAAUUCCAGAUACGUUCUGACCACUCUGGGUCAAGAUAGUACCGACGAUAAAGAUCUAGAUCUAGCCACUGAGCUGGCUACCGAGAAAGUUUUGGGAAUGUGGUGGUGUACACAAAAGGAUGUCUUCACGUAUAAAGUUGGCUGGAAUCGAUACGACCACGCUCUUCUCAAAGGCCUGCGACGCCCAACGAAACGAGAGGUUCUACGUGUUCUCAUGACGAUAUUUGACCCUCUCGGAUUGAUAGCUCACUACCUCAUGCACCUUAAAGUUCUUCUACAGGAUAUCUGGCGAUCUGGAAUUGAGUGGGAUGAGAAGAUCAACGAGGAGCUGUAUGAUAAAUGGAGAAUGUGGCUCACAGUUCUCCCGCAAGUGGAGUUAGUUAUGAUCCCACGUUGUUAUCAAUCAUUGACGCCACCAAUAAAUCGUAUUGAUUCUUCAACUUCACUUAUCCAACCCUUAGAACCGUGUGAUCCGAAUCAAGUUUUGAAAAUUGGUUGUCCAAUCAAAAUUGACAGUUAUUUCUCCCGACCUAAACAGAGCGAUGUAGAACUCCACACCUUCGUUGACGCUAGCGAGAAUGGCAUGGCAGCCGCAGUAUACAUUCGUUUCAUGCAUGUUGGGGAAAUAGAAUGCAUCCUUGUCGCAGCGAAAACAAAGGUAGCCCCACUGAAACACCAAUCGAUUCCCAGACUAGAACUUCAAGCUGCUGUGAUUGGAUCUAGACUAGCGCGAACAGUACAAGAAACACUCUCUAUUCCAGUUCAUCGGCAAAUAUUCUGGUCGGACUCCAGAGACGUAUUGUGCUGGAUAAACUCCGACCAUCGUAAAUACACUCAAUUCGUGGCCUGUCGAGUGAGUGAGAUUCUCGAAACGACGGAAACUAAUGAAUGGCGUUGGGUUCCAUCAAAGUCUAACGUGGCAGAUGAUGGCACGAAGUGGACAAGACUACCCGACUUAACUUCUAGAGCAAGAUGGUUCAGUGGCCCAGAGUUCUUGAAAAUGCAAGAAGCUAAAUGGCCACAGUCAUCCGUCAAAGUAAAUCCGACGGCUACUGAGUUACGUCAUCGAUUGUCAUUCCAUGUCAUGAUGCCUUCUCCUAUCGUAGACGUUACAAACUUCUCGUGUUGGAAGCGGUUGAUACAUCUGGUUGCACGUGUUCAACGCUUCCCAGCGAAUUGUCGUCGAAAACUCAAGCACGAACAAAUUCUCACCGAAACCUUAUCUAUGGAAGAACAACGUGGAGCCGAAGAUUAUCUCGUGCGUCUUGCUCAACGUGAAGCAUUUCCAGAGGAAAUCAAUUUAUUGAGGAACUCCUCACAUCAACAGCAAGAGUCACACAACGUGCUGCCAAAGACCAGCAAACUUCGCCAGCUAACUCCAUGGCUGGACAAUCGAGGCAUAAUGCGGAUGCGUAGUAGAAUUGCAGCUUGCGCAUUCGCCACCGAGGAUGCAAAAUAUCCCAUAAUUUUACCGCGUGAGCACCAUUUAACCACCCUAAUCUUAAAACACUACCACCACAAAUAUCAUCACCAAAACCACGAAACUGUAAUCAAUGAGAUACGGCAGAAGUACUAUGUUCCCCGUAUUCGUGUUAAUUAUCGAAAAGUACGCAACACAUGCCAACGUUGCAAGAAUGAAACCUCGUUACCGCAUAUCCCGAUCAUGGCCGAGCUCCCAGCAGCUAGACUAGCUGCAUUUUCGCGACCUUUCACACACGUAGGUGUUGACUACUUUGGACCGAUGGAAGUCGUCGUCGGGCGGCGAGUGGAAAAAAGAUGGGUCAUGCUGGCUACCUGUAUGACCAUUCGUGCGGUGCACCUUGAAGUUGUGCACUCUCUUACGACCGAUUCAUGCAUUAUGGCUCUUCGAAAUUGCUUUGCACGACGUGGUUGUCCGAGAAAAAUCUACAGCGACCGUGGUACUAACUUUAUUGGUGCCAACAAAAAGCUGAAGGAGCUAUAUCAAGAGAUCGACCAAGUAACUAUUAUGAGAGAGUUCGUGAGUUCAGACACAGAGUGGGUUUUCAAUCCGCCGUCCGCACCACACAUGGGUGGUAGUUGGGAACGGCUUAUACGCACAGUGAAAAACAAUUUGUUCGCCAUACGACCAUCUCGAAGGCCAACCGAUGAAGUUUUCCGGAACCUGCUCACUGAAAUUGAACAUAUUAUUAACUCUCGCCCUUUAACACAUGUUCCGAUCGAUGAUGACUCCGCACCGGCUCUCACACCCAAUCACUUUCUGUUGGGUUCGUCGAACGGAAUAAAACCGCUUUGUUUCUCGAACGACAGUGGGGCUAUACUCCGCCAAAACUGGCGUGCAUCACAGAUUCUCGCAAAUCAAUUUUGGAGAAGAUGGCUUUCCGACUACCUGCCUGAGAUCACCAGAAGAUCGAAAUGGUUCGACCACACUAGACCAAUAACUACUGGAGACGUAGUUGUCAUCGCUGACAACAAGUUACCCCGGAAUUUGUGGCCGUUGGGAAAAAUCAUCCAUACCCACAUUAGCAAGGACGGCCAAAUCCGAUCUGCAACAGUACGCACAGCCGUCGGUGUCUACGAGCGACCGGUAUCGAAGCUGGCGGUAUUGGACGUUCACCGCGAUAGAUAGUAAGCCAACUCGCAGGUUGGCGUACCGGGGGGAGUGUUGUCCGAACCUAUUCGGACCACGCGCACCUCUCAUCCAAUAUCUUGGCCCACGCACACGAAUGCAGUCAGCUAGGGUACAGACGAGAGUGACAGUUUAACGCAGGGAGUAAACAAAUAAAACACAGUUUCACAGUGCGUAUCAAAUACAUAUUAUUAAAACUAAAUCCUUUAAAUAGCCGCCAUAAAACGAACUAUUAUAGUGCUCAUUACUAAUAAAUAUCUACCUUAGAUUGGUACGAAGGUAACUAGAGUUUAAUAAUAGAAUGUAUCUUAAAAACAACUCUCAAUAUUAGGUCAGUAAUAGUAGCUCACCCACAAGCGGGAACCCUUUACUAGAGCCGAUAUCGCCUACAGGAACCCGAACCCCACUAUAUCGCAAUAGAAUUUUGCAUUUUAAGCGGAAAGCGAAAACAGAAUAGGAACUAAACGAAAAUUAUAAUCUCCCGUUAAGAAACACCUGCGUUUUAUUGGAGAUUAAAUUUCCGGAAACAUCCUGUCAAACCGUUGACCCAUUGCUGUCACCAACCGUUGACCAAAGGCAACAGGGUCACUGUAUUUGUGGUAACUGGUGGUAAAUCACUCACGGACACUUUUUAUUCCGAUUUUUAUUCGGAGUGCCUGGUCGUGUCGUCGGUUUCUCUUUGUUUACUUUCUCUUCUAUUAAUUACCAAGCGGUUUCCACAUUUAUCACUCAACUCUGCAUGAAAUGAUACCCAAAACUUUCGACUUUCAAACAGAAUAGUGAUAUCAAAGAAUAACUUUUUAGUCACAUCACAAUAAUCAAAAGAGAAAGUGACCCCGCAUGUACAUACAAAAAAACCCCGCAUGUACAUACAAAAAAAAACGAAUCUUGAGACGAGGUAAAUGAGAUUGAACUAUGAGUAUGUUUGGUAGUGAGAAAGCAAUGUUAUUGGCAAUAACAUUUUCCAUGAUUAGUAUAUAUGAAGGGCAAUAACUUAUUGCCUUUCAUAUGAACUUUUUAAUACAAAAAUAAA